GGGACCUGUGUUCACUGCAGAGCAGCACGGAGCAGCCGAAUGGAAGCAGCCGGGACUUCUGUGGUGACAAUAAUUUAGUUUCCAGGUUUGGAAAAGAAACACUGCUGGGGAGGAAUUGAAUGAAUUUAUUAAUGAGCAUGAUGUGAAGAAAAAUGACAGAAAAUAAUUUUCUACUUGAAUGCCACUAUUUGCUCAAUCUUUUGUUCUUGGAAGGGAUAGAAAGAACUUCCUAGGAAUCAAAGUGAGCUAAAAGCCACUGAAGGACAUUAGAAUACUUCAUAGCAACCAGAAGUUCCUGAUUUCAAAGUACUGCUCUAUUUCAUGAAGGAACCCAAGUAAGAAGAUAGUUCUAUAAAUUAAAAUUAAAAUCUGAGCUCCUGGAAACAAUUUCCGUAAGCUCUCAGGAACAAGCCAGCUGCCACAGAGGGUCACUGACACCACUGAGUCCUUUUCAAGCAAGAUCUGCUACUGUUAGCAACGUGCAGUGUUCCAGCAGAUACAUCUAAUUUUAUUCAUUUUGUUUUUAAAAAUAACUACCUUGCUUUAAUUUUUUUCAGUUUCAUUGGGCCUUAGUAUUAUAUAUUAAAGUUAUUUUUCUAAACAA